rnacentral:lncRNA from 1 species
GGGGCCGAGUCCGGGCUGCCGGCUGCGCUCAGGAGGCGGGCCUUGGGAGGCGGAGCUUAGGGAGGGUCCGGUGUCGGGAGGGACCAAGGGACUGGGAGGCGGAUUGGGGCUGGGCUCAGGGGCCGAGAGGCAGCUGGGCUUGGGGCGGGGCCGAGACGGAGCGAGGGGUCCAGGGUGUGAGAAACGGGGAGGGGUUUGAGGAGGGGAUUGGAGUGUGGCUCAAGUUCGGGAGGCGUUACCUGCGGAGGGUUUGAGGCAGGCCCAGGAGCGAGCCCACGGUCUGCCGACGCGGGGCCAGCAGCGGGCCCCAGGAUCCGGAGCUUCGGGCGGGGCCGAGUCCAGCUCUCUGCCCGCAGGAGACAAGGAAAACCAACGGGAACAGCCCAGUAAAGGCACCAUUCCCCAUUUUACAGCUUGGGAAUCUGAGUUACAGAGCUUGUCUGCACUGAGUCAACAGGAGCAAAUGCUAGAUCAGCUCCUCCCACUGAAGAAUUGGAGUAUAUUUCUCCAGCCCCUAAUGUUGCAUUUAGUCACGUGUCUAGCUUUGGCCACUGGAAUAUUAAUCUACAUGACCAAAAACUUGGAAAGUGUGCAUUCAUUUGUGCUCACUCACUCCUGCUAUCACCAUGAGAACAAGCCCAGGCCAGACUGCUGCUUCCAGCAGAAGAUAAGAGACACCAAGAGCAAAGUCAAGCUUCCCAGACACGCUCAUGCCAGAUUAACCAAUCCUCAGCUGACCCAUAGAUCCAUGAAAAUAAACAAUUGUUGUAUUAAGCCACUGAGAUUUGGAGUGACUUGUUAUGCAGCAUUUUAUGACAACAACUAACUGAUACAAGGGUC